rnacentral:lncRNA from 1 species
AACCAAUGCUUACAGGUUUGAAACUGAAAACGUUUUUCACUUGAGAUCUUCCAUGUUUUGUUUUUCCAGUUUCCACCCAAAUAAUUGAGGGAAUAUGGUGACACCAUACUUACUGUGCUGUUUUCCUGAGCCAGGAAAUUUCACAUGUCUUCAGAGGUGGCGGCUGAACAGAGGCCUGCAGAGAGCUGAUUGCCCUCCCAUUUUUGGAUAUACUUUGCAGUUCCAGAAGAAAACAUAGAACCCCACAUCUGGACCUUAAAAGGAAGGAAUAUCACAAAGCAUUGACAUUUUGGUGUCAUUGUGCCAUCAGGAUAAUCUGGAAAACCAAUGUAAAUCCUGAUUUCUGGGUCCUGCCCCCAGAGAAUCUUAUUCAGCAAAACUGUAAUGGAGCCCAGGUCAAUGCCUUUUCCACAAGCACUUGGAUGAUAAGAGCCAGUGGUCUGUGAACCCGCAUUUAGAACAGGAGCCCACAGUCGCCUGAGGCUCCCGGUGAAGGGUAGAUUUGCAUUCAGUAGGUCUGGGGAAG